rnacentral:rRNA from 1 species
GACGAACGCUGGCGGCGUGCCUAAUACAUGCAAGUAGGACGCAGUUGCGAACGGGUGAGUAACGCGUAGGGAACUACCUAUUAGAGGGGGAUAACUAUUGGAAACGAUAGCUAAUACCGCAUACUAGUAGAUGGACCUGCGUUGUAUUAGGUAGUAGGUAGGGUAAUGGCCUACCUAGGUACCGAUACAUACCCGAGCUGAUGAGAUGAGCGGACACACAGGGACGGAGAAACGGGCCAAACGCCUAAGGGAGGCAGCAGUAGGGAAUCUUCGGCAAUGGGGGGAACCCUGACCGAGCAACGCCGCGUGAGUGAAGAAGGUUUUCGGAGCGUAAAGCUCUGUUGUUAAGGAAGCGGUACUUACCCAAAAAGGGACGGCUAACUACGUGCCAGCAGCCGCGGUAAUAC